rnacentral:rRNA from 1 species
UACGUAGGGGGCGAGCGUUGUCCGGAAUUACUGGGCGUAAAGGGCGCGUAGGCGGCCCAAUAAGUCAGAUGUGAAAAACCUGGGCUUAACCGAGGUCUUGCAUUUGAAACUGUUGGGCUUGAGGACAGGAGAGGAAAGCGGAAUUCCCAGUGUAGCGGUGAAAUGCGUAGAUAUUGGGAGGAACACCAGUGGCGAAGGCGGCUUUCUGGACUGACCCUGACGCUGAGGCGCGAAAGCCAGGGGAGCGAACGGG